CCUAUAGCCCCAACUCCACCACCGCCUCAGCAGGAAACACGGCCACCUGUAGCUCGUGGGUUACCCGCCCAGCCAUAUGGAGAAAGAGAGCUUGCCUUAUAAACUCCUUGGGGAAACUUCUGAUUGGCUUCACCUUUAUCCAAACAACUCUCUCCAGGGGAACACAGCAAGACCAUACUGUACAAAGUAGCUGCAGGAGCACUGUGAUAAGGUGACUUGAGAACCUGUCUCAUCAGCCCUACACGCACAUGCUCUCAUCCCAAACUUCUCACUGCUGAAGUGGAUGCUCUCUCAGAUGUGCGGAUGAGAGAUCCGGCAGCCCAGAGGCACCCCCUUGUCUGCUGACCUUCCUGACCGAAGAAGUACCUUGGACUUCAGGGACUGAUUACUGUGACACUGAGACCCUGUUGUCAGCAUUUCUGGAACGCACAUCCUGUUAUCUGUGUGGGCAAAUGAGUGUCAUCCAAAUAUAUCUGAGCCAUACUGCUUCAGCCUCAAGGCCUGGUUUCCUACAGUGCCG
rnacentral:lncRNA from 1 species